GGGUAGGUAGCGAAGUGGCUAAACGCGGCGGACUGUAAAUCCGCUCCCCCUGGGUACGAUGGUUCGAAUCCAUCCCUGCCCACCA
rnacentral:tRNA from 1 species